CUGCUAUUCCUUCCGUUCCGAAUUACUUGUCUUGGAUUUGUCUAGAUACGGAUAUAUCUAAACUAAUUUUAGUGCUAGAUACCUCCGUAUCUAGACAAAUCUAAAACAAGUAAUUCAGAACGGAGGGAGUACAAC
rfam:Triticum urartu cultivar G1812 contig516654, whole genome shotgun sequence.